UGGGGAAUAUUGGACAAUGGGCGCAAGUCUGAUCCAGCCAUGCCGCGUGAGUGAUGAAGGCCUUAGGGUUGUAAAGCUCUUUCGCCGGUGAAGAUAAUGACGGUAACCGGAGAAGAAGCCCCGGCUAACUUCGUGCCCGCAGCCGCGGUAAUACGAAGGGGGCUAGCGUUGUUCGGAAUUACUGGGCGUAAAGCGCACGUAGGCGGAUAUUUAAGUCGGGGGUGAAAUCCCAGGGCUCAACCCUGGAACUGCCUCCGAUACUGGGUAUCUCGAGUCCGAGAGAGGUGAGUGGAAUUCCGAGUGUAGAGGUGAAAUUCGUAGAUAUUCGGAAGAACACCAGUGGCGAAGGCGGCUCACUGGCUCGGAACUGACGCUGAGGUGCGAAAGCGUGGGGAGCAAACAGG
rnacentral:rRNA from 2 species